rnacentral:lncRNA from 1 species
AAAAUAACCUCCCGAAGCCCGGGGCGCCAAGUUCGUCCAGCGGAAAAAGGCCACAAAAACGGGUGGGCUAUAGCCUUGGGGGGUGGGGCAGGCCCACUUCGUCCGCCGGACUCGGAAUGCCGAGAGAGUUUGCGAUGGGCCUCCGUGUGCCAAAAAUAGACCGCGGGCACAGCCGUGCCCAAAAAUAACCACCCGAAGGCCGGGGCGCCAAGUUCGUCCAGCGGAAAAAGGCCACAAAAACGGGUGGGCUAUAGGCUUGGGGGGUGGGGCUGGCCAACUUCGUCCGCCGGACUCGGAAUGGCGCGAGACUUUGUGAGGUGCCUCCGUGUGCCAAAAAUAGGCCACGAGCAAAUCGGCGCCCAAAAAUAACCUCCCGAAGGCCGGGGCGCCAAGUUCGUCCAGCGGAAAAAGCCCACAAAAACGGGUGGGCUAGCCUUGGGGGGUGGGGCUGGGCAACUUCGUCCGCCGGACUCGGAAUGGCGCGAGACUUUGCGAGGCGCCUCCGUGUGCCAAAAAUAGGCCAUGGGCAAAGCCGCGCCCAAAAAUAACCGCCCGAAAUCCGGGGCGCCAAGUUCGUCCAGCGGAAAAAGGCCACAAAAACGGGUGGGCUAUAGGCUUGGGGGGUGGGGCUGGCCAACUUCGUCCGCCGGACUCGGAAUGGCGCGAGACUUUGCGAGGCGCCUCCGUGUGCCAAAAAUAGGCUGCGGGCACAGCCGCGUCCAAAAAUAACCUCCCGAAGGCCGGGGCGCCAGGUUCGUCCAGCGGAAAAAGUCCACAAAAAUCGGGUGGGCUAUAGCCUUGGGGGGUGGGGCUGGCCAACUUCGUCCGUCGGACUCGGAAUGGCGCGAGACUCUGCGAGGCGC